AGCAGCAGCCACGGUAAUACAGAGGGUGCGAGCGUUAAUCGGAUUUACUGGGCGUAAAGCGUGCGUAGGCGGCUUCUUAAGUCGGAUGUGAAAUCCCUGAGCUUAACUUAGGAAUUGCAUUCGAUACUGGGAAGCUAGAGUAUGGGAGAGGAUGGUAGAAUUCCAGGUGUAGCGGUGAAAUGCGUAGAGAUCUGGAGGAAUACCGAUGGCGAAGGCAGCCAUCUGGCCUAAUACUGACGCUGAGGUACGAAAGCAUGGGGAGCAAACAGGAUUAGAUACCCAGUAGUCCCUGUCUCUUAUACA
rnacentral:rRNA from 1 species